rnacentral:rRNA from 1 species
AUUGAACGCUGGCGGCAUGCCUUACACAUGCAAGUCGAACGGUAACAGGUCUUCGGAUGCUGACGAGUGGCGAACGGGUGAGUAAUACAUCGGAACGUGCCUAGUAGUGGGGGAUAACUACUCGAAAGAGUGGCUAAUACCGCAUGAGAUCUACGGAUGAAAGCAGGGGAUCGCAAGACCUUGUGCUACUAGAGCGGCCGAGGGCAGAUUAGGUAGUUGGUGGGAUAAAAGCUUACCAAGCCGACGAUAUGUAGCUGGUCUGAGAGGACGAUCAGCCACACUGGGACUGAGACACGGCCCAGACUCCUACGGGAGGCAGCAGUGGGGAAUUUUGGACAAUGGGCGAAAGCCUGAUCCAGCAAUGCCGCGUGCAGGAUGAAGGCCUUCGGGUUGUAAACUGCUUUUGUACGGAACGAAAAGCCCCGGGUUAAUACCCUGGGGUCAUGACGGUACCGUAAGAAUAAGCACCGGCUAACUACGUGCCAGCCGCCGCGGUAA